GAUAUCUAAUCACCUGUCGCUCUGUUAUAAGCAGCAGCCAGUAGGAGAGACAGGGUUGGAGCUGGAUCCAGAGCGCAAGCGAGAACGAAAGACAAAAAUACGAUUGCUGGACAGCAACUGAGAGACUUAUUGAAAAAUAAAACAAUAUUGUAACCCUGGAACAGGCUCUCAUUUCGGUGUUUGGUGGUCUGAAGAACCCCCAGAGUGUCAAGGUUUGGUAUACAAGUGUGGCGAGGAACCCAAGGAUGCAGACACACGAAAGGUGAGUAAAACAGUCUUUACUCAGUAGAAUGUACUUACAACUAAGGGUGCUCCAAAAAGGAGAGAACUAAGGACGACGAAGCAAGCAGGUAAACUCAAAAAGGGCUUCGUGGCAAAAACAACAAAAGUUAUCUAAUCUAAACUAAAACUUGGGCUGGAGUUUGCAAGACGUGCAACUACAAACUAAGACACAGGCUGGAUGGCACCAGGAGCAGUCAGGAACAAGCGUAGCAAAAUGCAGGAGAGGUCUCGGAGUGAAGCCACAGGGUUGAAUCGCCAAGUGCCAUCCAGCUGCCAAAUUGCAGGUUAAAUAUCCUCAAUCAAAAUUAGAAACAGCUGUGCACGUCUCGCAGCUCCACCCACGAAAGAGACGGGAACUGCAGGGGAAAGAGAACUGGAGUGAGGUCACAAGGUCAACUGCACCAACAAAGGAAACUGAAUACAAACCACUAGGUGGCAGCAGGUGGUGACACAGAGAGGCAAGCCCCACACUAACCAAUAAUAAAUAAAUAACUUCUUACCAUUACGCAACUUCUUGAACAUAUGCGGUAGAAAACGGAUGGAUGGAAUAAAAAUGCAUGAGAAUGUUUUAUAUUUUGAACGGUAUUUUUAACACUGUGAUUACAAGUGGAAUCAUUCAUCACUUAUCGUGUUAAGCAAUGUCUGCUCAGAUUUAUCCGAUAGCCAGAUGCAGUCAUCAAAAGAGCCACGUCUGGCUCUAGAGCCAUAGGUUCCCUACCCCUGCUCUAGAGCAUGGGUGUCAAACUCUGGCCCGCCAUGUAAUUUAUUUUGGCCCUUGAGACAAUAUUAAAUUAACAUUAGAGCUGGCCCGCCGGUAUUAUACAGCGGCGGUGCAUUCACCGCUAAUUCUAAUACUUGCCAACCCUCACGAUUUUCCCAGGAGACUCACGAAUUUCAGUUCCCCCCACGAAAAUCUACCGGGACAACAUUUCUCCCGAUUUCCACUAGCGUCUUCUAUAACCUGUUGUCAUAUCCGCUUUUCCCACCCUGUCACGUAAUAUAUGCAGUUUCUACACACACAUACACACACACACACACACACACACACACACACACACACACACAAGUGAAUGCAAUGCAUACUUGGUCAACUGUCAUACAGGUCACACUGAGGGUGGCCUCACACUGAGGGCUAUAGAGCCUUUUCUAUUCAGGCUCCAGUACUCUAGAAUGCCCUCCCGGUAACAGUUAGAGAUGCUACCUCAGUAGAAACAUUUAAGUCCCAUCUUAAAACUCAUUUGUAUACUCUUGCCUUUAAAGACUCCCUUUUUUUAGACCAGUUGAUAUGCCGUUUCUUUUCUUUUCUCCUCUGCCCCCCUCUCCCUUAUGGAGGGGGGAAGCACAGGUCCGGUGACCAUGGAUGAAGUGCUGGCUGUCCAGAGUCGGGACCCGGGAGUUGACCGCUCGCCUGUGCAUCGGUUGGGGACAUCUCUGCGCUGCCCAACUAUGGACUGAACUUGUCAGAUCUUCCCUGCAAACUUCGCGCUUCCUGGUUCUCGACUCCUCGCUGGCGCAUUGGAAUGCGCCCUCAUCCUUGGGCUCUGCUUGUCGCACCUCGGGACACGCCCACGGCCGCACACAUCCCUGCCGCCAGCUGCAUCAUUCCCCGGCAAUCAACGCACCUGCCUGGAGCUGCCUUCAUAAGACUGCUCAACCUGCCAUCCCGCGCCGGAUUAUAACCUUCUGUUGGUGAACCUUCCCUGUGUGCAUCCCCGAGUCAAGCUGUGCGUCUUGUGCUCCCGGAUCUUCCCCGCUUACCUCGUGCUUCCUGAUUCUCGGCUCCUCACUUGCCCCCGGACGACGACUCGCUCAUGCCUCUCGACCCCGCUUCCGCCCCUGGACAACUCUGCCUGCCUUGCCCUUGUCGGACACCACCGCUCCUCUCAAAACGCUCCAGUGAAAUGCUACACAUAGUCUGUCACCCAUUUCCUUGAAGACUUUAUCACACACUCCAUUUUCCCUAAGUAUAUUAGUAUCGUGUUCAUUGUUAUAUAUAUUAUUAUUAUAUAUUGUGUCCUGGGCAUGAUGUUAAAGUGCAUCCGGCAGUGGAGGUUCCUCUUUGGGGUAUUGGGGCACUAGGAGAUUAACCCCUUUACCACCGUUACCCCAGGUGGCCCUUGGCAAAGGCCAAGUACCUGACUGCCCCCUAGCCAGGGAUACAGUGAAGACCUCAAUGGCGAGACAGGAGGAAGACGGUAGAUUUAAGAACUACCACAAACCACAAACGGUUGCGAUGGCGGAUGAAGGCUGCAACAGAAAAGGGUCCCCAGUCGUCUUGGACUCCAUGCCACUGGACCCUGACCCGGAUCUGUCAAGGAUCGUGUGGUGAUUGUCUGUGCACCAGUGAGUUCAAAUCCAUGUGUGCAUUGAAGUAAAGUUGUCAAAUGUAUGUUUUAAUGACGUUAAUAUUGUUGUAUGUCUGCUUGUUUGUACAAUAUAGUUGUCCAAUUCCAAAUGAGCUAGUAUUUGCAAAAAAAUAAAAGUUUAU